CUUUUUUAUCAACUCUUUCACCGCAAAACACUUGAUACCAGCGAAGUGUUGUUUCUACCAGUUUCUUCCCUAGAUAUAUAAAGUCACCGGAGUUCACCGAAUUGUCCGGCACAUUCUCCAAUAAUUCGCACUAAUGGCAGUAAAUGGAUAAAAUUAUCGCUUUCUGUAUGGGAAAGGAGCAAUCCCGAAUUUACCAAGCCAAAAACUUCUGAAACCCAGUUCCAUUAUUGCGAAUAGUCCAUAAGCUUGCGAUGUUUGAAGUCGUUGACAACGUCGAUUUCGUUGAAUGUAAACAAAACGAAUCUGCUCAACGUAAACAAAAGCAUCGAUAUGGGUGUGUUGCGUGAAGAGCUGGAUGCUGUAAAUCCAAUUUUAUAAAGGCUUACUUUUUAGAACCUCUAUUAAUCAAUUUAUAAUGAUUAAGCUUGCAUGGAUAAGUACAGCAAAUGAUUGA